rnacentral:rRNA from 1 species
CCUACGUGAGGCAGCAGUGGGGAAUAUUGCACAAUGGGGGAAACCCUGAUGCAGCGACGCCGCGUGAGUGAAGAAGUAUUUCGGUAUGUAAAGCUCUAUCAGCAGGGAAGAAAAUGACGGUACCUGACUAAGAAGCCCCGGCUAACUACGUGCCAGCAGCCGCGGUAAUACGUCGGGGGCAAGCGUUAUCAGGAUUUACUGGGUGUAAAGGGAGCGUAGACGGCCAGACAAGUCAGAAGUGAAAGCGCAGGGCUCAAACCUGGGACUGCUUUUGAAACUGCCGGGCUGGAGUGCAGGAGAGGUAAGCGGAAUUCCUAGUGUAGCGGUGAAAUGCGUAGAUAUUAGGAGGAACACCAGUGGCGAAGGCGGCUUACUGGACUGUAACUGACGUUGAGGCUCGAAAGCGUGGGGAGCAAACAGGAUUAGAUACCCGGGUAGUC